UGAAAAAUGUGUCUUUUCAUUUCCUCUUU
rnacentral:piRNA from 1 species